rnacentral:rRNA from 1 species
AAGUGACAGCUUUAGAAAUAGAGCCUUCUUCGGUACACUUUUCAAGGUGCUGCAUGGUUGUCGUCAGCUCGUGCCGUGAGGUGUCGGGUUAAGUCCCAUAACGAGCGCAACCCCUAUUGAUAGUUACCAGCACGUAAUGGUGGGGACUCUAUCGAGACUGCCGGUGUAAACCCGUGAGGAAGGUGGGGAUGACGUCAAAUCAGCACGGCCCUUACAUCCAGGGCUACACACGUGUUACAAUGGCCGGUACAAAGGGCAGCUACUCCGCGAGGAGAUGCGAAUCUUAAAAACCGGUCUCAGUUCGGAUCGAAGUCUGCAACCCGACUUCGUGAAGCUGGAUUCGCUAGUAAUCGUAUAUCAGCCAUGAUACGGUGAAUACGUUCCCGGGCCUU